GAUGAACGCUGGCGGCGUGCCUAAUACAUGCGGUCGAGCGAACGGACGAGAAGCUUGCUUCUCUGAUGUUAGCGGCGGACGGGUGAGUAACACGUGGAUAACCUACCUAUAAGACUGGGAUAACUUCGGGAAACCGGAGCUAAUACCGGAUAAUAUUUUGAACCGCAUGGUUCAAAAGUGAAAGACGGUCUUGCUGUCACUUAUAGAUGGAUCCGCGCUGCAUUAGCUAGUUGGUAAGGUAACGGCUUACCAAGGCAACGAUGCAUAGCCGACCUGAGAGGGUGAUCGGCCACACUGGAACUGAGACACGGUCCAGACUCCUACGGGAGGCAGCAGUAGGGAAUCUUCCGCAAUGGGCGAAAGCCUGACGGAGCAACGCCGCGUGAGUGAUGAAGGUCUUCGGAUCGUAAAACUCUGUUAUUAGGGAAGAACAUAUGUGUAAGUAACUGUGCACAUCUUGACGGUACCUAAUCAGAAAGCCACGGCUAACUACGUG
rnacentral:rRNA from 1 species